rnacentral:lncRNA from 1 species
AAGAAAUAUUCUUAAAUAGAAGUUAAUCGAACGAGCUACUAUUGACACAACCUUCUUUUACUGUAUCACAGGUCCAUUAACAUGAAGGAAGCUGAGCAUAAGCUGGGACCCAAUGCAAAAAGGAAUCCUUGGUGUGUGAAAAUGCACCCAGGUAUUAAUGUCUUUGGAUUUAAAUACUUGUGAACUGAUCUUGAGAGAUCCCUGAGCAUUUCCAAUGUCAGCUGAAGACAAGAGGAAAUACAGGUGUUCAACAUCUGAAAAUCAGAUGGGGGAAAAGCAAGGAUUAUCACUCAAAUACUCUUUGAAGGUAGUGUCCAUGGGGCAACAUGAAGGGCUAACCCUUUACCUGCUAUGAAUCCAUAUGAGUCCAUUGACUUCAGUGAUGGAUAGGGAUAAACCUCUCCAUGCAAUUACAAACCUAUUUCAGUGCUUUGGUAAAAUAUAAAUCCAUAAAAGUGCUUUUCCCUUCAGUGAAGAUCUCUAAAUUUACCCCAGACAAGAGUCAGACCUUUUAAAACUUAACUUGUUCCUUUGCAUAUGCCUAAAGAUCUUAAGAUUUGCCAUCUGUUUUAGUUACGAUUAGAUAGCUCAUUAUUCCUUAAGACAGUAUUUUCUUUUUUGUUUAAUUGUCAUAAUGUUCUAGUCAAACUA